rnacentral:lncRNA from 1 species
GUCCCUAAUUGAAUCUACUAUUAAAUAGAGAUUUAAUUUUUUUUGAGAUUUGUAUGAUUGUUAUAAAAGGAUACUUGAUAGAUAUUAAAGAUCUUGAUGAUAGAAACUUUAAAAAAGAUAAUGAUUUGAAAUUCUUAUAUAUUCUGAUUAUGUCCUAAUUUGGUGAAGCAUCGAAAGAUUUUCUUAUUGAUUUUACUUAUAGGAUUUUGAUUUGAAAUUAUCUAAUUGAAUUGAUAUGAGAAUUAAGAUUUGAUUUAUAUUUGAUUAUAGUAGACCUAUAUGAUGGUUUUGAAUGUGAUAUUGGACUCAAGGGUUAAUCAAGAUUAUUGUAUACCAGCAA